rnacentral:lncRNA from 1 species
UGGAACCUGGGACCACUCUUACUAAUUGUAGUCAGCCGAGGACACUUACAUGCUGAGUUCCUUCACUGGCAGGGUCCAAGCGACAUUGGGGAUGCCAAUUUACAUUCAGGAAGCACAAAAGUUCACUUGUACAUUUCCUAACAAUGCUAAGGAGUUAUCAAACACAUGUUUCGAAGACUCUGACUUUAUAAGGAGAAGAUGAGACUCGCCUCAGCUCUUUCUCAACUACUGCCCUCCGUUCUCCAGGAUGGCAUUCCCAGCUGAGACCUGCACUGUGAUGGUAUUCAUUCCUUCUGAAGUAAAUCUGAAGGAUAUGCUUCCCUCCAAGGUGAUCAAAGGCUAAAAUAAACAAGGGCCCAGAGUGAAGGGAAAGCUCUUUAGUUACAGGUGACACAGCCACUAACUGUGAGCCAACAAUAGGCUGUCUAACCCAGCAGAGGCUCUUCCUGAUGUACCACAAUGGCACUGAGUCCCUCUAUGCCUCCCUAUCAUCUCAAGCCCAAAGCAGAAAAGAGGCUAUUGGAGCAAUGACUCCAAGCAAGUCUGCCUAUUCAUUGUGAAUUCCUGAUAUCAUCCUGAUUCAGGGCUGGGGAGAUGGAUAGGUCUUGCUUGCUGGUGGAAUGUAUGUCUCUCUUUAUGCAUGACCUACUCAUAUCAAGCAGAUCCCUAAUACAAGGAAAUGAUCAAAGCAAAUGAG